rnacentral:rRNA from 1 species
CGUAGGCGGUUUGUCGCGUCUGCUGUGAAAGCCCGGGGCUUAACCCCGGGUGUGCAGUGGGUACGGGCAGACUUGAGUGCAGUAGGGGAGACUGGAACUCCUGGUGUAGCGGUGAAAUGCCAAUAUCAGAAGAACACCGAUGGCGAAGCAGUCUCUGGGCUGUUACUGACGCUGAGGAGCGAAAGCAUGGGGAGCGAACAGGAUUAAUACCUGGUAGUCCAUGCCGUAAACGUGGGCACUAGUGUGGGGGACAUCCACGUUUCCGCGCCGUACUAACGCAUUAAGUGCCCCGCCUGGGGAGUACGGCGCAGGCUAAAACUCAAAGGAAUUGACGGGGGCCCGCACAAGCGGCGGAGCAUGCGGAUUAAUUCGAUGCAACGCGAAGAACCUUACCAAGGCUUGACAUACACCGGACCGGCUCAGAGAUGGGUUUUCCUCCUUGUGGGGCUGGUGUACAGGUGGUGCAUGGUUGUCGUCAGCUCGUGUCGUGAGAUGUUGGGUUAAGUCCCGCAACGAGCGCAACCCUCGUUCUAUGUUGCCAGCACGUGAUGGUGGGGACUCAUAGGAGACUGCCGGGGUCAACUCGGAGGAAGGUGGGGAUGACGUCAAAUCAUCAUGCCCCUUAUGUCUUGGGCUUCACGCAUGCUACAAUGGCCAGUACAAUGGGUUGCGAUACCGUGAGGUGGAGCUAAUCCCAAAAAGCUGGUCUCAGUUCGGAUCGUGGUCUGCAACUCGACCACGUGAAGU